rnacentral:lncRNA from 10 species
AAAAAGUUUCUGAGUUUUCAUUGCCUCAAUCUAAAAGUUGGCCUUUUUGGUAAUAGAUGAAAGUAAAAUAAUUGAAAGGGUCUGUUGCAGUUUUGGAAUAUCUUGAAAAUAUAGUAGAGUGAAGCCUUCUUCCCUUAAAUAAAAGACAAGUUGCUGAUUGUUUUCUUUCUAGCCAGAUAAGAAUAAUGCCUUCUUUCUCUUGUUAGUCUUAACACCUCACUUGUUACUAUGUGUCAGAAAGGCAAAUACAAAAAAUUAGCCAGGUGUGGUGUCAUGUGCUUGUAGUCCCAGCUGCUCGGGAGGCUAAGGCAGGAGAAUCGCUUGAACCCGGGAGGUGGAGGUUGCGGUGAGCCGAGAUUGCACCACUGCACUCCAGCCUGGGUGACAGAGCGAGACUCUGUCUCAAAAAAAAAAAAAAAAAAUUUUAUACCUGGGCUCUGUGCUCACCAGCAGAAGGGGUAACAUGGCUUCUUAGGACAACCUUACUUGACCAUUUACUUCUUUGACAUGUGACAAUGUACAAUCCUAAAUAAAUCAACAAAUUUAGAGAUGUACCUCUAAAACCAUUGUAAAUUCAACAGUGUAAUUUUCCAUUGGACUUUCACUUAUUCAUUCAUUAAACAAAUGUUUGUGAGUGCCUGCAAUGUAUGAGACAUUGUACUGCCUGUUACACACAUAUACACCUUCUUCCUAAACAGCUCAUAAGGUGAAAGAAAGACUCAGAUUUCUGACUAUGUAAUUGAUAAUAUCACACGGACUGCCUGCUCAUCAUCUGCUAGUCACAUUGGCAGAGUUGACAGUUUUGGAGACACUGAAGACAGUGCAUAUAUUAGG